AUGUCAUUUUGUGAUAUGUCGACUCCACUAAUAAUCCAGACUCCUGGUUCCAAAUGGCAAACCUCUAAGAUAAGCCAUGGUAAUGGAAUCCUUGUUGACAGACUUGUAUUCCUUGCAUCACUUAUAGCCCUCAAGUCUACAGAUAUUAACAUCAUCUUGGGUAUGGACUGGAUGAAAGCUCAUUAUGCCAAGAUUGAUUGUUACACAAGGUAUGUUCAGCUUACACACCCAUCUGGCAAGAUAGUCAAUGUCUCCACUAGAGUUGCAAGGCGUCAACUCUAUUCUCUUAAUGCCAGCCCUCUUCUAGACCUUGAAGAUAUUCCGGUAGUCCGUGACUUCUCGGAUGUUUUUCCAGAAGAACUGCCAGGUGUCCCACCUGACAGAGAUGUAGAGUUUGUCAUAGAACUUAUCCCAGGAACUGUUCCAAUCUCUAGGAGACCAUAA
rnacentral:rRNA from 1 species